rnacentral:lncRNA from 1 species
UGAUGUGAGUUGACCCAUGUUGCUCUGUGUUGACCCACGUUGAUGAGUGUUGACCCACGUUGAUGUGUGUUGACCCAUGUUGCUGUGUGUUGACCCACACCGUUCCAUACUGAUGUGUUAAGGUGAGAUUGUCUCAUGCUGAAUCAGGGUUGAUCUGUUUUGGACCACGUUGACACGUGUUGAUCCACACUGACGUGUGCUCAUUUGCUUUGAGUUGACCCUUGUGUUGAUGCAUGUUGAUGUAUGUGGAGCCAUGUUUGGAGCCAUGUUGGUGUAUGUGGAGCCAUGUUGAUCUGUUUUGCUACCUCUAUGGAUCCACAUUGACAACAUAACUCUCUUUUGACCUCUGUUGGCCCACAUAUGACUCAUGUUGACUCAUGUUGACCCACAAUGAGCUGCUGUCAGCCUGCAUAGCCCCAUGUAGAUCACGUUGACCCAUGUAGAUCACAUUGACUCAUGCUGGCUCCUACGUAGCUCCAUGUUGAUCAUAUUGACCCAUGUUGGUCCCUACAUAGCUCCAUGUUGAUCCACAUUGACCCAUGUUGAUGAUAUUGACCCAUGUUUGCCCCUACGUAGCUCCAUGUUGAUCCCAUUGACCCAUGUUGGCUCCUACGUAGUUCCAUCUUGAUCACAUUGACCCAUGUUGGCCUCUACGUAGCUCCAUGUUGAUCACAUUGACCCAUGUUGGCCCCUACAUAGCUCCAUAUUGAUCAUGUUGACCCAUGAUGGCUCCUAUGUAGCUCCAUGUUGAUCACAUUGACCCAUGUUGAUCACAUUGACCCAUGUUGGCCCCUAUGUAGCUCCAUGUUGAUCCACGUUGACCCAUGUAGGCCCAUGAUGAUCUGCUGUCAGCCUACGUAGCUCCAUGUUGACCACGUUGACCUAUCUAUCUCUUUGCAGGUGAGAAACCCCACCAGUGCAGCAUCUGUUGGCGCUCCUUCUCUCUAA